AGUGAACGCUGGCGGUAGGCCUAACACAUGCAAGACGAACGGCAGCACAGUAAGAGCUUGCUCUUACGGGUGGCGAGUGGCGGACGGGUGAGGAAUACAUCGGAAUCUACUUUUUCGUGGGGGAUAACGUAGGGAAACUUACGCUAAUACCGCAUACGACCUACGGGUGAAAGCAGGGGAUCUUCGGACCUUGCGCGAUUGAAUGAGCCGAUGUCGGAUUAGCUAGUUGGCGGGGUAAAGGCCCACCAAGGCGACGAUCCGUAGCUGGUCUGAGAGGAUGAUCAGCCACACUGGAACUGAGACACGGUCCAGACUCCUACGGGAGGCAGCAGUGGGGAAUAUUGGACAAUGGGCGCAAGCCUGAUCCAGCCAUACCGCGUGGGUGAAGAAGGCCUUCGGGUUGUAAAGCCCUUUUGUUGGGAAAGAAAAGCAGCAGGUUAAGACCCCGCUGUUCUGACGGUACCCAAAGAAUAAGCACCGGCUAACUUCGU
rnacentral:rRNA from 1 species